UACGUAGGUGGCAAGCGUUGUCCGGAUUUACUGGGUGUAAAGGGCGUGCAGCCGGAGAGACAAGUCAGAUGUGAAAUCCACGGGCUCAACCCGUGAACUGCAUUUGAAACUGUUUCCCUUGAGUGUCGGAGAGGUAAUCGGAAUUCCUUGUGUAGCGGUGAAAUGCGUAGAUAUAAGGAAGAACACCAAUGGCGAAGGCGGAUUACUGGACGAUAACUGACGGUGAGGCGCGAAAGCGUGGGGAGCAAACAGG
rnacentral:rRNA from 1 species